rnacentral:rRNA from 1 species
UUUAUGGAGAGUUUGAUCCUGGCUCAGGACGAACGCUGGCGGCAUGCCUAAUACAUGCAAGUCGAGCGAAUCAUUAGGAGCUUGCUCCUAAUGAUUAGCGGCGGACGGGUGAGUAACACGUGGGCAACCUGCCCUGCAGAUGGGGAUAACUCCGGGAAACCGGGGCUAAUACCGAAUAAUCAGUUCCUUCGCAUGAGGGAACUCUGAAAGACGGUUUCGGCUGUCACUGCAGGAUGGGCCCGCGGCGCAUUAGCUAGUUGGUGGGGUAAUGGCCUACCAAGGCAACGAUGCGUAGCCGACCUGAGAGGGUGAUCGGCCACACUG